rnacentral:tRNA from 2 species
GGCCGGAUAGCUUAGAGGUCAAAGCUUUUCCGAUUAAUGAAAGCGACCCAGGUUCGACUCCUGGUUCAGCCG